GACGAACGCUGGCGGCGUGCCUAAUACAUGCAAGUAGAACGCUGAAGGAGGAGCUUGCUUCUCUGGAUGAGUUGCGAACGGGUGAGUAACGCGUAGGUAACCUGCCUGGUAGCGGGGGAUAACUAUUGGAAACGAUAGCUAAUACCGCAUAAGAGUAGAUGUUGCAUGACAUUUGCUUAAAAGGUGCAAUUGCAUCACUACCAGAUGGACCUGCGUUGUAUUAGCUAGUUGGUGGGGUAACGGCUUACCAAGGCGACGAUACAUAGCCGACCUGAGAGGGUGAUCGGCCACACUGGGACUGAGACACGGCCCAGACUCCUACGGGAGGCAGCAGUAGGGAAUCUUCGGCAAUGGACGGAAGUCUGACCGAGCAACGCCGCGUGAGGGAAGAAGGUUUUCGGAUCGUAAAGCUCGGUUGUAAGAGAAGAACGAGUGUGAGAGUGGAAAGUUCACACUGUGACGGUAUCUUACCAGAAAGGGACGGCUAACUACGUG
rnacentral:rRNA from 1 species